rnacentral:lncRNA from 1 species
GGAAGGCGGGAGAGGAGAAGCCCGAGAAGCCGCAGCGAGCCGGAGCCGCCGGAGUUAAUUCAUGGGAGCCUCUUGUACUGCCACACAAUCUCAGUUCCUGCUGUACACUCUAACAAGCAGUGAAGAGACUGUUGGGUCAGUAGGUGACAGCUGCAGAGGUAUCUUCCUUGUAAAGAUGCUUUGUGAGGUUGCUGCUCCCAUCAAUCUGCUCAGUAAAAAUAGCUCAUCUUGGUAAGUUGUUUCGACUUCACCAGGACCUGAAGAAGAAGCAGAAAAACCUGUGAAAACUAAGACUGUUUCUUCCAGUAAUGGAGGGGAAAGUUCCAGUCGCAGCGCUGAAAAGCGAUCAGCUGAAGACGAAGCUGCAGACCUCCCAACAAAGCCUACAAAGAUGUCCAAGUUUGGAUUUGCCAUAGGUAGUCAGACAGCAAGGAAAGCAUCCGCCAUCUCCAUUAGACUCGGAGCAAGUAAGCCUAAGGAAACAGUUCCAACUCUUGCUCCAAAAACUCUUUCAGUAGCAGCAGCUUUCAAUGAAGAUGAAGAUAGUGAGCCGGAAGAAAUGCCUCCAGAAGCGAAGAUGAGGAUGAAGAACAUCGGAAGGGACACGCCAACAUCAGCCGGACCAAACUCCUUUAAUAAAGGAAAGCAUGGCUUUUCCGAUAACCAGAAGCUGUGGGAGCGAAAUAUCAAAUCUCAUCUUGGAAACGUCCACGACCAAGACAAUUAAGAGAAGUGUUCUGAGAUUGGGGUGUGGGCGGGUGCAUUAGAAGGAGCAGUCAGCCUCCUUUUUGUAAAGAAUGGUGUAAGACUAGCUUUGGAGCCGUUUUUCUUUCUUCUUUUUUCUUUUCCUUUUUUCUUUUUUUUUUUUUAAGAUUGAGUGGUACACUAAUAAAUGAGAGUUUGCAAUUAGAGGUAAUUUAUGUUUUAUAUACAGAUUUCAAGACAUUUGCUAAUUUUGUAGUUUCACAUGAUUAGUUUCCAAGGGUUACAGAUAAUAAAGAAAUCAGAAGUGGU